rnacentral:rRNA from 1 species
GAUGAACGCUAGCGGCAGGCUUAACACAUGCAAGUCGAGGGGUAGAGAAAGCUUGCUUUCUUGAGACCGGCGCACGGGUGCGUAACGCGUAUGCAAUCUACCUUUCACAAAGGGAUAGCCCAGAGAAAUUUGGAUUAAUACCUUAUAGUAAUACGACUUGGCAUCAAGAUGUAUUUAAAGAUUUAUCGGUGAAAGAUGAGCAUGCGUCCCAUUAGCUAGUUGGUAUGGUAACGGCAUACCAAGGCUACGAUGGGUAGGGGUCCUGAGAGGGAGAUCCCCCACACUGGUACUGAGACACGGACCAGACUCCUACGGGAGGCAGCAGUGAGGAAUAUUGGACAAUGGGCGCAAGCCUGAUCCAGCCAUGCCGCGUGCAGGAUGACGGUCCUAUGGAUUGUAAACUGCUUUUAUACAGGAAGAAACACCUCUACGUGUAGAGACUUGACGGUACUGUAAGAAUAAGGAUCGGCUAACUCCGUGCCAGCAGCCGCGGUAAUACGGAGGAUCCAAGCGUUAUCCGGAAUCAUUGGGUUUAAAGGGUCCGUAGGCGGUCAGAUAAGUCAGUGGUGAAAGCCCAUCGCUCAACGGUGGAACGGCCAUUGAUACUGUCUGACUUGAAUUAUUAGGAAGUAACUAGAAUAUGUAGUGUAGCGGUGAAAUGCUUAGAGAUUACAUGGAAUACCAAUUGCGAAGGCAGGUUACUACUAAUUGAUUGACGCUGAUGGACGAAAGCGUGGGUAGCGAACAGGAUUAGAUACCCUGGUAGUCCACGCCGUAAACGAUGGAUACUAGCUGUUGGGAGCAAUCUCAGUGGCUAAGCGAAAGUGAUAAGUAUCCCACCUGGGGAGUACGAACGCAAGUUUGAAACUCAAAGGAAUUGACGGGGGCCCGCACAAGCGGUGGAGCAUGUGGUUUAAUUCGAUGAUACGCGAGGAACCUUACCAAGGCUUAAAUGUAGUUUGACCGGUUGGAAACAG